GACGAACGCUGGCGGCGUGCCUAAUACAUGCAAGUUGAGCGCUGAAGGUUGGUACUUGUACCAACUGGAUGAGCAGCGAACGGGUGAGUAACGCGUGGGGAAUCUGCCUUUGAGCGGGGGACAACAUUGGGAAACGAAUGCUAAUACCGCAUAAAAACUUUAAACACAAGUUUUAAGUUUGAAAGAUGCAAUUGCAUCACUCAAAGAUGAUCCCGCGUUGUAUUAGCUAGUUGGUGAGGUAAAGGCUCACCAAGGCGAUGAUACAUAGCCGACCUGAGAGGGUGGUCGGCCACCUUGGGACUGGGACCCCGCCCCAACUCCCUCGGGAGGCCGCCGUAGGGGAUCCUCGGCCAUGGACGAAAGUCUUACCGAGCCACGCCGCGUGAGUGGAGAAGGUUUUCGGAUCGUAAAACUCUGUUGGUAGGGAAGAACGUUGGUGGGAGUGGAAAGCUCAUCAAGUGACGGUAACUACCCAGAAAGGGACGGCUAACUACGUG
rnacentral:rRNA from 1 species